UCACGGCUGUAGAAAUAGAAGCCGUCAUCCUUAUCCCUAACCUCCUGACCCCAACCAUCCCACACAUCACGCCAUGGAUUGCGCCGCCGCCCUGCUCAACAGCCAACGCCGUCGCCGCCUGCCCCAUCCGUCGUCGCUCCCGCCGCAUCAACCCUCUGCCGCAUCCCACUGCCAUCAUGACCCAUCUCUCUCCUUGGUCUUCUGUCUUUGACCAAUACUGGGUGGCGGCUGUGCUUCCGGUCGCGUGGUGGCGAUGUGGCUGGUCGAGGGAACACAGUGUUCCUGUUGUGCCCCUUCACACAUUGGACCAUCGUGGCGCAGAAGUACAUGGAGAAGAUCGCGCUCCUCUUAGCAAAUUCGGGUGUUUUGAGUUGGCUACCCAGCAAGGGGCAUGGUCACAUGGAUGAUUAGCAUCUUUUGGCAAAAGCAUGUUAAUUCACUGAAGAAAUACUACUGCACCUAUGACUAUGAGCGGAGAUGUCCACUCACGAUUUUUGAGGACCACUUGAGGAUGUGAUCAGUAGUGCAGCUUCAAAGAUGCUUGAUAUGACAUAGUGUUUGAUUUUUACAAAUCUGAAAGUCAAGCCUAAGCAAUGUUACGGUUCAGAUCUAAACCUUAAACUUACUGAUUAUUUGUUGUGCGUUACUAAUCUGACCGGCCAUCGAUCUCCACCUUAACCUUAUUUAUCUUUCUUAUUAGCUCCACGUCUCUAGCGUCUAUAGAGUCCUAACCCAAGAAUAUCUCCUGCCGCCUUCAGUCCAAACCCUCGGCAAGAGUCUCCCCUGCAUCCUCCUCUUCUCCUUGCCGCCUAUGUCUCCUUCUUUUGCUCCUCGGGUCGCUAUUGUGACGCGUCCGUCAUCUUUUUCAUGAGGAGCUAGAUGAUUUCAGUCUGAGAUUACAUCCUCCUAUAGAGAAUCCUACCCUUUCCAUGCUGUCACUGUAGCCAGGUCUAGCAAAGGGGAUAAAUUUAUGUUGCAAAUGAGAUGCUAAAGUUUAUAUGCAGAGGUGUGCAACUCUGUAUCCAUCAACAUCCAUACUUCAGGGUGGAGUAGAGGGAGGGAGCAUUUACCAGAGAUGUGUUUUUAGCAGCAUUAUUUUUAGAUAAAAUAAUUAUACCUGCUUUUAUCUGUAAGCUGCACACAGGGCAGAGGAUGCAAUUUGGUUUAGAAGAAGAAGAAAACACAUUGACACUAUGGCUUAUAAUUCUUAUGAUAGUAUCAGAAAAUAUAUGCAAUAUGGUUUAGGUAACAAAAACACAGCGUUAUGUCUUCGUUGGAAAAUUUGCCACUCCGGAGACAUAGACAGACUUAUCACUUUCAUCUUAUUAAUGGUAUUUUCUUAAAGUAAGAAGAUAAAGAAGAGAUGGGUUUAUAUGAAGCAGGCCUGCCGCAACAGUCAAAAGAUGAUGUCUCAGUAUUUCACAUUUAAAGCAAGGACAAGUGCUCAUAAAUGAUUAUAUGUAUCUACUUUAUUAAACUAGCAUAUGAACUAAUCCCCCGAAUCCAUGUACUCUAUAUUCUUACUUAUUGCAUGACGUUCUUUUGCUUCUUGAUAAAUAUGUCCAUUUUCAUUAUUAUUUCAUAAUAUCUGCUAUGUACAGUGGCAUCAUUGAGCAUUCCUUUACUUUUCACAUUUCAGUUCAAUGUUCUGCACAGUGCACAGUAUAAUGCUACAUUGGAUGGCGCUAUUAAAUACUUCGAGGUCAUGUGACAGAGCACGAAAAAAGAACUAUCGAGGUUUUUUUUAAAAUCAAAAUCACAAUGUUAUAUAUAUGUUUCGUGCCUCUCACGUCAAUUCUAAGAGGGCACAGGUUGGGUUCAAUAUUUUUAUCGUCAGAUCUAACCAUGAUGAAGGCAAGCCCCUCCGAUUGCUAUUAGGAAUGUGGAAGGUUGACCAGCCGUCUCUUCCUCUCCAUCGUCUCUCCAUGGUGUGCAUGUUAAGAACUUAUGCAGCAGCGGACGCCAAUUUCAUGGAGCCGUCAGCAUCAACUUUUGUGGAGUCCUCUUCUAGGAUCUGAUACGAGUCCCUCCGACAUCAGAUAAGGUUUGGGUAUGCAUGAGGACGAAUCGGAUAAUCAAUUGCAAACUGAUUGUAUCGUAUGUUGUGUACUAUCGACGCAUUUGCUUGGGUGGAAAAGUCUCGCUUCUGAUUACAGCACUUUCAGAAGACAGUAGAAGUCGUUUGGUUCAGCCCUUC